UUACAUUUUAGGCCAAAACAGAAUAAGACCAAGGCAACCCAUUGAGCCAUGACCAAAGCUGACAAACAAAUGGAAGUGGAAAAAAAGCAUGUGCAAGAAGACCUCUGCCUUCCAUGUUGCCCAUGCGCGUUUGAACUAAAAAAAUUACCUCCAUCUGAAAACCUUCCCUCCGCCGCAUCAGGAAUCGCCUUCGGAGGCGGAGGAGACCAAACCACCACUUUAAUCACAUAAUCAAAAACUUUGUUUCAUCCUCAACCAUAAUUCCCCCUCCCUUGUCUUCAAUUUACAUCUCACGCUUCGAAAUCCACAAUUAUAUCUAAGAACCCUAGAGCUAGGGAUUGCAAUUAAACGGUAGAUAUGUGGAAUCAGAGCCAUGGAUGUUUAGGCUUCGAUCCACCUCAUCGCGCUUUUCAUCACGAUAAUUCAAAAGAAGCAAAAUGAUGAAGAUUGCUUUAAGGACUUAUCGGAGCGACAUGCCAGAACUUUAGGUAAUCUUCUCUGCACUAUUGAUCGAAUCUCUUCGAUCUUCUCCUUCUUCCUUCUUCUUCUGAAUAACCUCUUCUCUUUCUUCCUAUUGAUUCUGAGGGAUGGACUAAGUGAGAAGGAAGUGAGAUUAUGAUGGUUUAGCUCAAGCAAAUUGAAGCUUCGAUGUUGAAGCUUCAAUGGCUAUGGACAACAAGCUCUGAGUGAGGGAUUGAGGUUAUGUAGAGUGAUGAGAAGAGUGGUUCUGAGAGGUGUUGAUGUGAUCCUCCUUUGAAACACAAUGAGGUCAUGGUUUCAUGGUUGUUGGACACAAAUGGUCAAAUUUUCCUUUGAAGAUUCCAUGUAAAAAUAGCCAAAUCAAGAUCAAUAUGAACCUAGAGAAUAGGGUUAGAACUAGGAUGGAAAAUGUAGUGGUUUAGGAUGGAAAAAAAAAUUUAGUUGACUUUGGUUAAAGUUGACAAAAAAGUCAACUGUUGACCAAAGCCAACAUUUGGUCAACAUGUAUUUUUUUCAUUUUUUUUGGUAUGUAAUGAGACAUUUAUGAUGAUGGAAUGAAUGGGUUUGAUGCAUUUGAAUGAAAUUGAAUAGGUUUUGAAUCUUGAA